UUUUUAUAUAUAUAUACACACACACACACAUAAUGUGUGUGUGUGUGUAAUAGUACAAUGUGUAAGGGGUGCAGUGUGUGUGUGUGUGUGUGUUUGAAGGUUGUAGUGUGAGUGAGGGCGGCAGUGUAUGUCAGGGAUGCAGUGUAUGUGUGGGACAGUGUGUGUGUAACAGUUGCAGUGUGUGUGUGUGUGUGUGUGAGUGUGAGUAUUGCAGUAUAUGUGCGAGUGUGGGCAAUGUGUGUGUAUGGGGCGGCAGUGUAUG